rnacentral:rRNA from 1 species
UACAUGUGGGGCAAGCGUUGUUCGGAAUUACUGGGCGUAAAGGGCUCGUAGGCGGCCAACUAAGUCGGAUGUGAAAUCCCCAGGCUUAACCUGGGAACUGCAUCCGAUACUGGAUGGCUUGAAUUCGGGAGAGGGAUGCAGAAUUCCAGGUGUAGCGGUGAAAUGCGUAGAUAUCUGGAGGAAUACCGGUGGCGAAGGCGGCAUCCUGGACCGACAUUGACGCUGAGGAGCGAAAGCUAGGGGAGCAAACGGG